AGAGUUUGAUCCUGGCUCAGAAGGAACGCUAGCUAUAUGCUUAACACAUGCAAGUCGAAAGUUCUUUUCGAGGAGAUGGGCAGAAGGAAAAGCGGCUCCUAACUAAAGGUAGCUUGUCUCGCCCAGUAGGUGAGAAGAGUUGAGAACAAAGUGGCGAAUGGGUGCGUAAUACGUGGGAAUUUGCCGAACAGUUUGGGCCAAAUCCUGAAGAAAGCUAAAAAAGGCUGUUUAAUGAGCCUACGUAGUAUUAGGUAGUUGGUCAAGUAAUGGUUGACCAAGCAAAUGAUGCUUAGCUGGUCUUUUUGGAUGAUUAGUCAUACUGGAGAUACAACCCAGACUUCCACGGGGGCCAACAGUGGGAAAUCUUGGACAGUGGAUAAAAGCUCGAUCCAGUAAUAUCGCGUGAGUGAAGAAGGGAAACGCUGCUUGUAAAGCUCUUUCAUCAAGUGCGCGGUCAUGACAAGACUCGAGGAAGAAGCCCCGGAUAAUUCUGUGCCAACAGCCGUGAUAAGACCGAGGGGGAGGGGGAAGGAAGAAAAAUGUUUUUCAGAAUGAUUGGCGUAAAGGGCACGUAGGCGGUGAAUCGGGUUGAAAGUAAAAGUUGCCAAAAAUUGGCGGAAUGCUAUCGAACUAAUUCACUUGAGUGAGAUAGAGAAGAGUGGAAUUUUGUGUGUGGGGGUGAAAUCCGGAGAUCCAUGAAGGAAUGCUAAAAGCGAAGGUAGCUAUCUCGGUCCCUACCAAUGCUGGGGUGCGAAAGCAUAGGAAGCGAACAGGAUUAGAUACCUCGGUAGUCCAUGUCGUAAACGAUAAGUGUUUGUCCUUGGUCUACACGGAUCAGGGGCCCAGCUCAAGCGGUGAAGCAUGUGCUUUAAUACGAUACAACGCUUAAAACCUUACCAGCCCUUGACAUAUGAACAACAAAACCUACCUUUAACGUGAUGUACUUUCAUACAGGUGUUGCAUGGCAGUCGUCAGCUCAUGUCGUGAGAUGUUUGGUCAAGUCAUUUAACGAGCGAAACCCUCAUUUUCUGUCGCUGAGACAUACGUUUAAGAAGAAAGUCUUCGCAACCGAAGUGAGCUGAGGAGUCGAGUGACAUGCCAGCGCUACUAAUUGAGUGUCACCACGUAGCUGUGAUGUCAGUCAUAAGGUAGCUGGCGCCUUUUGAAGCACUUUCUAGUUAGCGCUUUAGUUUGAUUGCAGCUAGCACGUAGAUAGAAAUUUCUCGCUUGUUUACUAAAGUUUUGGGCCAACUCUU
rnacentral:rRNA from 1 species